GGUUUCCAAGGGGUUGCUCGAGAGCAAGCGGGCAAAUACCUCCCUGCUCGGCCGUGAAGCCUUGCUUUUGAUGCAAAAUAAACUUUAUCUGUCCAGAGCACUACUCUCCCGUGGCUGACUGGCUGGAGGAGGUUGGAACUUGGUCUGAUCCACCAGGACUCUCCUUCUUGCAUCCUUAAGGGUGACCCUGAGACCAACAGAGUGGAAAGCAGUUCUGAGCCACGGGACCCAAUGUGCUGGGAGAUUCUGCCUCCUAAACCCCAUUGAAAUGAAGGAGCAGAGUUGGCACACAGCAGAAGUGUUGCGGGGAAGGAAAGGAUUUAAUUUUGCUACUGAACGAUUACUGAGCCACAGGAGAGCUGUAGCUCAGGGGUAGAGCAGAUGCUUUCCCUGCUGAGGCUCCUGGGUUCGAUUCCUGGCAUCUCCACGUACAACUGGAAACGAACCUGCCUGACACUUUUGAGAGCCACUGCCUCUUAGGGUAGACAAUACUGAGCUGGAGGGAUGCAGGGUCUGAGGGAGGGAAGCUUCCUGUAUCCCAUCUCCCAUCUCUCCCUUGCUUUGAUCUUGGCUGAGGAGGAAGGGUGGGAGAAAAGCAAUGUUAAACCUAGACAGCAUCUUAAAAAACAGAGACAUCACCUUGCUGACAAAGGUCCGUAUAGUUAAAGCUAUGCUUUUCCUAGUAGUGAUGU